UACGUAGGGUGCAAGCGUUGUCCGGAAUUAUUGGGCGUAAAGGGUGCGUAGGCGGUUUGAUAAGUCUGAUGUGAAAUCUAUGGGCUCAACCCAUAGCCUGCAUUAGAAACUGUCGGGCUUGAGUAUGGGAGAGGUGAGUGGAAUUUCCGGUGUAGCGGUGAAAUGCGUAGAUAUCGGAAGGAACACCUGUGGCGAAAGCGGCUCACUGGACCAUUACUGACGCUGAUGCACGAAAGCUAGGGGAGCAAACAGG
rnacentral:rRNA from 1 species